rnacentral:tRNA from 1 species
GGGGCACUAGUAUAGUGGUAGUAUCCUACCUUUGGACGGUAGAGACCGUGGUUCGAUUCCACGGUGCCCCC